AUUGAACGCUGGCGGCAUGCCUUACACAUGCAAGUCGAACGGCAGCACGGGUGCUUGCACCUGGUGGCGAGUGGCGAACGGGUGAGUAAUACAUCGGAACGUACCUUAUCGUGGGGGAUAACGCAGCGAAAGCUGUGCUAAUACCGCAUACGCCCUGAGGGGGAAAGCGGGGGAUCGCAAGUCCUCGCGCGAUUAGAGCGGCCGAUGCCUGAUUAGCUAGUUGGUGGGGUAAAAGCCCACCAAGGCGACGAUCAGUAGCUGGUCUGAGAGGACGAUCAGCCACACUGGGACUGAGACACGGCCCAGACCCCUACGGGGGGCAGCAGUGGGGAAUUUUGGACAAUGGGGGCAACCCUGAUCCAGCAAUGCCGCGUGAGUGAAGAAGGCCUUCGGGUUGUAAAGCUCUUUUGUCAGGGAAGAAACACCGGCUCUAACACAGUCCGGGAAUGACGGUACCUGAAGAAUAAGCACCGGCUAACUACGUGCCAGCCGCCGCCGUAA
rnacentral:rRNA from 1 species